GCUGCUGAGCUGAAAAUGGAUAAGCGGAAGAAACGCCCGGGUGGCGCUGAAAAACUGCGACUUAAAAAGCUGAAGUCUCUGGAGGUGGAGGCUGCUAAAUAUUCUAAAUUGACGGACCUAUUUGGUGCCGGGGUCACCACCCCAGCAGGUGCUGCUGCGCCGGGAGACGAGCGAGUGGAGGCAUACAUGGUUGUUCUGAUAUAUUUGAGGAGUCGUUCUCCCUCUGUUCUAUAUGUGGACUUGUUCUCUCAUUUGGGACCACUGUUAGAAUUUGGUUGACCACUUGACAUGUGAGAGCUUGAGUAGUUGUUCCCCCUCCGUCCAUGUUCGAGGAUUUGCUCCACUGUUGAGUUGACCACCCUAUAUAUGAGAGCCUAAGGAGUUGUUUUCCCUCUGUCCCCUUUUGAGGACCUGCUUUGUCUCCUCCAUCAUUCACUGGGCCACUUUUUGGUUCCUGGGCUUAUUUCAUGUGGUUUUCCUGACCUGCUAGAAGUUCUUCUAUGAUGCUUGAGGCAUCCAUCAUAUCUGAGAGCUUCGUCUUGACU